rnacentral:lncRNA from 1 species
CUGUAUUGAGCCUCCAAAGUCAAAUGCACGUGAUGCAAAUAAAAGUUCCUACUAAGGACCCGACAUUAGGUUUUGAUAUACUAGGUUUGAAACUUGGGUUUAUUGUUCUAGACCUAGCUUACCCGAGAGGACAGCUCCAUCUGGAGGGGGUAGCAUACUGGGAAUACAGAAGCUUCACCGGCUUUGCAACUUAUUCGAACCUCG